GGAGAACUAUACUCCCAGCAUCCCACCCCAGUGUUUUGAACUGCAAGGACUUGCAGCCUAAUAAAUUCUGGAGAGCUGCACAAUCCCCAUCUCUGGGAUGGCAGUUCUAAUCAAAAGGAGUGAUUUUUUCCCCCUUUAAACUUGAAGCAGAUAACAAUGCCAUUACAUGGCAAGCCAUCUCCAAGAGUAGGAAGAUCUCAUUCGUAAAUUCCAUUAAUCACACAGUAACACUGAACCCUAUGAACCUCCCACCCAUUCUCACCCCACUGGAAGCAGUGAGCUGCUUUCAGCUGUGUCUCUUUGCCUCCGAUUGACACAAACCAAGCUCCAUAUGCUGGAAUGCUGGUUUGGCCAUUCUCUCUAUUCCUUUCCUGCAUAGCCCCCGGGCUGGUCCUUGUGGGUAGCGAACGAGGGCUGCGCAAAGGCCUGGGCCAGCUUGAAGCCUACCUUGAUAUGGAGGAAGGGGUAGCUUUCCAGAUGGACAACGGCAUGUACUGGGGCUCUGACGAAGACGUGUGCAUCAAAGGUGUACAUGAAAAGGUUGCACUGUGCAAAUUUCACAUCUCCCGCCUGCCCUCGGGAAAGGUUUGCAUUCGAAACUGGAAAGGCCUGUGUCUUGCUCCAAUGGAUCUAUCUUCAGAAAUAGACUAUCCUAUUCAACCUGUCUUGUUCUCCAACAAGCCAUAUGUGGAGUAUGAUGUCUUUUGGAAAGACAAUCAUGUAGCUUUCAAAGCCUAUAAUGGGCUUUUCUUGGUCAGAACAUGUAGAGUGUACCACACGCUGGCAGCAGCCAAGUUCCACCCAGAUGUCACCUGCUAUUUCCAACCCUUGGUUGGAGACCACCCACCCCCAGCUAUUGAAAUAAUGUCUGUGGUGCCAUGUGAUGUUUCAUCAGUGACCUGUAGCCCUUACAUUUUGGAGGAGCAGGUCUAUGUCAACCAUGAAAAGGUCCCAGUAACACACACCUUUGUCAUGUUUUGGGAACCUCACAGCACUGACCACAUUAUAUGGACUCGUAUGUGGGGUCUGGGUAUGCACACGUCAUGUACUUUCACCAUUCUGGAUACCAAAUGUCUUAUUUUGUACACGGAGGACAAUGAACAGAUGAUAACUUUUACGCGGUUUAUUUCUGAGUAUCUGGUGAAGGACGUGGUGGUGCCUCCCAGAACUGAAGCUAGAGCCCACUUCUGUGUCGAUAUGCAAAGUGAUGCGAUUUUGAGUUUCAUAGCCUUAGUCCGCAAGAAAAGAUCUGUUCAGGAUGUCACUUUCUUUGCUGUAGGUGGGUCCUGGAUGGGACUUAUCUAUAGUAACUUCAGAGUGGAGGUCAGAUUUACAGAUCUUUGAGUUUGGGAGACACGCAGAAACUAUGAAAACUAGUGGCCUUUCAAGGGAAGUUGCAUGCCAGUUUAUGCAUACCUGAAGUAAUAUGACUGUGAGUCUCCAUGGGCCAGAAAGCAUCUACACCAGUGGUUCUCAACCUGUGGGUUCCCAGAUGUUUUGGCUUUCAACUCCCAGAAAUCCUAACAAUUGGUAAACUGGCUGGGAUUUCUGAGAGUUGAGGCCAAAAUACCUGGGGACCCACAGGUUGAGAAACACUGAUCUACACCAAUGGUGUCCAACAUUUGAUCCUCCGGGUGUUUGAGACUCCAACUUCCACAAGCCCUGGCCAGCUUUCCCAAUGUUCAGGAAUUCUGGGUGGUGAAAUCCAAAACACUCAGAGGACCAAAGGUUGGAUACAAUCACACUAUCCCAGUCUGGAGCUUUGCUGCACACCAUUGCUUUCUGAAACAGUUGAAUUCUGUACAAGACAAGUCAUGAUUUCCUCUUGAGGCUUUUUGGGCACACCCUCACUGCUUCCCAAGUGCCUGAAGACAAAAAUAUGAUGGCUACCUUUUUGUGGCAAGAGGGAAAGCCCUUCUCACCUUUCAGCACAGUUGUCAAAAAUACAAUUGUCAAAAAAAAAGUGAAGAUAUUUUUGGAAAUAAAUCCUCAGUAGACUUCAUUAUCCCUCAAGAGUGUCAGGAACAGGCCAAGUUGCGGAAUAGGAAAGCUAAUGUGUAUUACUCUCAAGUGUGAAUUCUUAUCAAAUACUAACAGAAUUAAAAUUCUUGCCUCUAGCCGAAUUGAAAUGGCACAUUGUAUUUUUGGGGAGCAGAUUUAUUUAUUUAUUUGCGGCAUUUAUAUCCCGCCCUUCUCACCCCGAAGGGGACCCAGAGUGGCUUUACAGAACACAUAUACAGCAAACAUUCAAUGCCAAACUAUACAAUGAUCAAGGACAGACAACACAGAAGAGGUAAAGACAGU
ensembl:lncRNA